rnacentral:misc_RNA from 1 species
AACGGUCUAUACCUGCGGUACCUGCGGAGGGAUCAUUACAGAGUUCGUGCCCCCAGAGGGUAGAUCUCCCACCCCUGUGUCUUCAUACUUUGUUGCUUUGGCAGGCCGCUGGGCUUCGGUCCGGCCACUGGCCGCGAGGUUGGUGUGCGCCUGCCAGAGGAUCUCCAAACUCUGGUUGUUAGUGUCGUCUGAGUAUCAUGCAAUCGUUAAAACUUUUAACAAUGGAUCUCUAGAUCGGAA